GCAUCUGAGAGCAGUUUGGCUGCAACCGCAACCCUAUUGAUCCACAGAGCUGCUGCUGUUUAUCUGCCUGGCUAGGCCAGGGACCAGUUUCCUCUCUCACCACUUCAUGGGCAUCCCUCUUGAAGCUGCACACUUGGUGAUAGAGGUUGGUGUUCUCUAGACUAUUUCUUAAUCAAAGACACAAGAGUAACUAUGCUUCCAUUCCAGAUCCUCCAAACAAGCUCUCGAGAAUAAGAAUUGAACCCAACAUGGUAGCACAGACCUCUAAUCCCAGCACU
rnacentral:snRNA from 1 species